UAUGCUUGACCGUAAACUUUAAUAUUAGCGUACUUUAAUAUUCACCGGGGGACUACGGGCAUCAGCCUAAAACCCAAAGGAUUUGGCGGUAUUUCAGACCCGUCUAGAGGAGCCUGUUCUAUAAUCGAUAAUCCCCGUUCAACCUCACCAUCUCUUGUCAAUUCAGCCUAUAUACCGCCGUCGCCAAUUUACCCUGUAAAGGAUUUAAAGUAAGUAAAAGGGGCACUGCCCAGAACGUCAGGUCAAGGUGUAGCAGAUGAGAUGGAAAGAAAUUGGCUACAUUCCCUAUUAUUUAGGGUAUACGGAUGGUAUUAUUAAAUUAAUAUCUGAAGGCGGAUUUAGCAGUAAGGGAGAAGUAGAGUGUCUGUCUGAAGCUGGCUCUGAAAUGAGU
rnacentral:rRNA from 1 species